GUAGGGUAAAACUAACCUGUC
rnacentral:siRNA from 1 species